rnacentral:rRNA from 1 species
CUUUAAAUUUAAAGAAUUUGGCGGUGUUUUAGUCUAGUUAGAGGAACCUGUCUUAUAAACGAUAUAACACGAAUUAUCUUACUUGUUUUAGUAACUCAGUUUGUAUACCGUCAUUAUAAGAUAAUUUAGGAGAGAAUAUUAUUGAAAUCACAUUAUUGAGUAUAUUAGAUCAAGGUGCAGCUUAUAGAUAAGUAAAUAUGGGUUACAAUAAAAUUUAUUUAAUACGAAUUAAAUAUUUAAAUGUAUUUAUGAAGGAGGAUUUAAUUGUAAGAAAGGAAAUAGUAAGAUUUUCUGAUAAAAGCUCUAAAUUAU